UGAGCAAUCUGCCCUUCUCAUCGGAAUAACCAUUGGAAACGAUGGCUAAUGCCGAAUAUGACCUCGGAUCACAUGUUCUGAGGUGGAAAGCUCCGGCGGAGAAGGAUGAGCUCGCGGCCUAUCAGCUUGUUGGUGAGGUAAUGGCUCACCAAGGCAUUGACGGGUAGCCGGCCUGAGAGGGUGACCGGCCACACUGGGACUGAGACACGGCAGA
rnacentral:rRNA from 1 species